GAUGAACGCUGGCGGCGUGCCUAACACAUGCAAGUCGAGCGAUUCUCUUCGGAGAAGAGCGGCGGACGGGUGAGUAACGCGUGGGUAACCUGCCCUGUACACACGGAUAACAUACCGAAAGGUAUGCUAAUACGAGAUAAUAUACUUUUAUCGCAUGGUAGAAGUAUCAAAGCUUUUGCGGUACAGGAUGGACCCGCGUCUGGUUAGCUAGUUGGUAAGGUAACGGCUUACCAAGGCGACGAUCAGUAGCCGACCUGGGAGGGUGAUCGGCCACAUUGGAACUGAGACACGGUCCAAACUCCUACGGGAGGCAGCAGUGGGGAAUAUUGCACAAUGGGCGAAAGCCUGAUGCAGCAACGCCGCGUGAGCGAUGAAGGCCUUCGGGUCGUAAAGCUCUGUCCUCAAGGAAGAUAAUGACGGUACUUGAGGAGGAAGCCCCGGCUAACUACGUGCCAGCCGCCGCAGUAA
rnacentral:rRNA from 1 species